UACAAACUGUGAUCUAGCUGAUCACAAAUUAAUAUUAUUUUGUGGUCCAAGCAUACCACCAACAUCACAUAAGCAAUAACAAACUUACAAGAAACAAAAGGACAUAAAAAACCAUCUCUACUCCCCUACUUCCUCAGAGAGAGAGAGAGAGAGAGAGAGAGAGAGAGAGCUAGGCCUGGUUCUUCAAC